CGCGGGGUAGCGCAGUCGGAAGAGCGCCGGGCUCAUUACCCGGAGGUCGUGGGUUCGAGCCCCACCCCCGCAACCA
rnacentral:tRNA from 1 species